GGAUAAGUCGCCAUUAGGUAAAGCAGACUAUUUGCUAAAUAGUUGAAUGAAGAUUCUUAUGGGUUCGAACCCCAUCUUAUCCG
rnacentral:tRNA from 1 species